rnacentral:tRNA from 1 species
UUGGGGCGUAGCCAAGUGAUUUAAGGCACAGGGUUUUGACCUCUGCAUGCGCAGGUUUGAAUCCUGCCGCCCAAGCCA